CAAAUUAUACCGUUCAAAGCAACACAUCAAGUGGUGCAUUUAGAGGUGUUGGUCGAGGUCUCCGAGGCCACAUGACUAGAGGAGGGGUGAAGUCCGAGAGGACAGUCAGGGGAAGGUUGAGUGUCGGUUGAGACAGCAGGUCAGCCAAGGGAAGGAGGUGGCCAAAGUACUAGAGAAAACCUAGGGGAAGGAGGUAGUGAGGGCUGAGAGGUCACGAGGAGAUUCUCUAGGUACUAGAGGAGACUCAUGUGAAGGUGACAGCUAAGGGAGGCCACCAAGGUAGAGAAGGUGGCCGAGGUGCCAGUGGCCACUAAGUGGAAAAGUAGGCUGAAGUCCAGGAGGCCACACAGCUGAAGGAAAAAGAUGAGGUACCCCAGGAAAGAGAGCCAGAUGAGGUGAAUGGGGUCUCCCAGGAUAGACAGAUGUAUGAGGUAAGUGAGGUCCACCUGGACAGACAGAUGGAUGAGGUGAAUGGGGUACCCCAGGACAGACAGAUGGAUGAGGUGGAUGGGGUCCCUCAGGACAGACAGAUGGAUGAGGUGGAUGGGGUUCCACAUGACAGACAGGUGGAUGAGGUUGAGGUACCUCAGGACAGACACCUGGAUGAGGUGGAUAAAGUCCCAUAGGAGGUGCGGCUGGAGGAGGUGCUGGAGGUCCCACAAAACAAACAGUUGGAAGA